GAUGAACGCUGGCGGCGUGCUUAACACAUGCCAGUCGAACGGAAAGGCCAGUGCUUGCACUGGUACUCGAGUGGCGAACGGGUGAGUAACACGUGGGUGAUCUGCCCUGUACUUCGGGAUAAGCUUGGGAAACUGGGUCUAAUACCGGAUAGGACAACUUUUUGGAUAUUGUUGUGGAAAGCUUUUGCGGUAUGGGAUGAGCUCGCGGCCUAUCAGCUUGUUGGUGGGGUAAUGGCCUACCAAGGCGUCGACGGGUAGCCGGCCUGAGAGGGUGUACGGCCACAUUGGGACUGAGAUACGGCCCAGACUCCUACGGGAGGCAGCAGUGGGGAAUAUUGCACAAUGGGCGCAAGCCUGAUGCAGCGACGCCGCGUGGGGGAUGAAGGCCUUCGGGUUGUAAACUCCUGUCGCUAGGGACGAAGCUUUUUUGUGACGGUACCUGGAGAAGAAGCACCGGCUAACUACGUG
rnacentral:rRNA from 1 species